rnacentral:tmRNA from 3 species
GGGGCUGAUUCUGGAUUCGACGGGAUUUGCGAAACCCAAGGUGCAUGCCGAGGGGCGGUUGGCCUCGUAAAAAGCCGCAAAAAAAUAGUCGCAAACGACGAAAACUACGCUUUAGCAGCUUAAUAACCUGCUUAGAGCCCUCCCUCCCUAGCCUCCGCUCUUAGGACGGGGAUCAAGAGAGGUCAAACCCAAAAGAGAUCGCGCGGAUGCCCUGCCUGGGGUUGAAGCGUUAAAACGAAUCAGGCUAGUCUGGUAGUGGCGUGUCCGUCCGCAGGUGCCAGGCGAAUGUAAAGACUGACUAAGCAUGUAGUACCGAGGAUGUAGGAAUUUCGGACGCGGGUUCAACUCCCGCCAGCUCCACCA